GGCCGACAACGACGCCAACAACCCAGCUCUGGCAUUUGCCCACGAUGACGACGAUCUGAGAUUCCUGGGCCAGCGUCCACCACCAUCUCCACCCCCACUUCCAACUUUGCCACCGCGACGCCAGCCUUCGCCACCACCAGAGCCAAGGGACCAAGAGAACCCUGUCCCACAUCAUCAUCCAGACCCUAAUGUUCUGCUUCACCACCUGGAGCAGCUUGGUCGACAGAUUGCUGAUCUGCAGAGGCAGGUGCAUCUCGAUCGACGCAAUGCUGCUCAACUGGCUGAGGAUCCUCAGGAGCCUGCUCCAAGAGGGAGGGGCAGAGGUGCUUCUAGGGGCAGGCGCAGAGCCGGGAGAUUCUUGGGGGAGAGAAACGCUCGCUACUGGAGGGGACGUUAUUAUCAAACCAGGUCUCCUCGUGGAGGAGGAGGGGCUUCCUUCAACUUCGUUUAUAGAGAUUAAUUAACUCUUCUCUCUCCUUCUACGGUCCCUAUCUCACUCACUUCUUCGGUCCUCAUGAUUCCUGUUCUUCAAUACUCAAAAUAUAAGAUAAAAAGUACAAAUUAAACUGACUAGUUUAUGUGGACUGUGACUCGUACGUGACUAGUUUUAUCUUAGCUUUGAAGUAAAAAUAAAAAUGUGAUAUAAAAUAAUAUAAAAUAUUAUCAUACAAAAUAUUUCUUAUGAUUGAACAAGAAAAAAUGUGAAUUAAUCUAUGUAGAGUCUAAAACCUAACUUGGUUGAAAGUUUAUUCUAAAAAAAACUUUAAAAAAUAGGAACAUGUGAUUUAACAUGUGAAGUCUGUUAAACAUAAAAUAUGAAAUAGUCUAUGUAGAGUCUAAAACGUAACUUUGUUAAAAUAUUAUUUUAAGAAAAACUUUAAAAAAUAGGAACAUGUGAUUUAAAAUGUGAAGUAUGUUAAACAUAAAAUAUGAAUUACUAUUUAAGUAAUUAAGAACAUAAUGUGUUCAAUGAAAAAUGAAGACUAAAAGAAGUUCGUGCAGAUUUUCGGAAA